UAAUUAAUUUAAUCUUUUUUUUUUGAACAAUCGUCGUUGCCGCGAAAACGCACAUUGUUGAAAAAAAACAAUACUACCAUAUUAUCGACCGUCCUCCGUUUGGAAUCGUAUUCCGUUAGCAAUGAUUAAUCGUGUGUGGCGUACAUAUAUAAAUUAAAUUCCCCUCUAUGCUCUACCCCAACUAUCCACCAGCAACAGCGGC